rnacentral:misc_RNA from 1 species
UUUCCGUAGGUGAACCUGCGGAACGAUCAUUCAUAAUAAAGUGUUUUAUGGCACUUUUUAAAAAUCCAUAUCCACCUUGUGUGCAAUGUUAGAUCUCGUCAAUCUUGGCGAGAUUUUUAUACAUCAACUCAUUCUUUAACUAAUUUGUCUGAAAAAUAUUAUGAAUACUUAAUUCAAAAUACAACUUUCAACAACGGAUCUCUUGGCUCUC